AAAUAUGCUUGUUUUCAACUUAAUUUUCAUAUUUAUUUCAAGUGUUUAACGUUCUUUUUUUGGGGGCAGAUGCGUAAGUUUGUUAAGAGAACCGCAAUUUGUGGAUCGCUCUUAUUGAUAGCGAUUUUUAUGAUGAAUAGUUGGAGCGGUAUUCAGAGCGGGCAUAACGCAUUUCGUCCAGUCUCAAAAUCAAAACCAGCAUCGAGUGAGACUUGUAAAGAGUAUAACGAAAAGGGUUUUAUCGGAAAAUUGUUUGAUUUUUCUGCACGUGGUUGGUGCGAUUGAUUAAAGAGGCUUCGGCCUCUUUUUUUGACGCU
rnacentral:ncRNA from 1 species